UUUUAUUCGAUUCUUCGAGAAAAUUGAUUUUAAAUACGCAAUACGAAUGAGUACAUUCCAUUAUCGAUUAUCUAUAUCUAACUAUUUAUAAAUAAUGACAAUAAUAUUGUUUUUAUACAGAUCAUUCAUUCUUUAUUGUUCAUUGUAUUGCAAGUAUUGAAAAAAUAUCCUUGCUAUAUACAUUAUUAUGUUCAACAAAUUAAAAGUAACUAAAUGGACUGUAAUAUGUUAUUGCUUUUUAAUCUUUCAUAUUUCAUUCAAGAAUAUUUUGCUAUUUAAAACAUUUGUACAGUGAGAACAGAAUAUUUGAUCUAUAUUUUAUAUUCUAAAUUUAAAUAAAUCAAUAUACAUAGUUUAAAUUACACAUUUUAUAGAUAUGAAUAGUUUAAUAAUGAACAUUGGUCUGGCGUAACAAUACAAAUAUAAUCGCGGUUAGGACAAAUCUUAUCAAGAAGGAUAUCGGUAUCAAAAAACUAAAUUCGAAAAACGAAUUUACAAAAAAUAAUUAGAGCGAAAUAAUUUUUCUUUGUUUAAAUUAAUCUUUUAUAUCUAAUACAUAUUUUUUCACAAUAUAUAUAUUUUUAUUCUAUCAAUAAAAAGAUUUUGCUCCUAUUCAACGAGUUCCAUUUCAAGAAUUCAGAUGGCGUUGAGCAAUGUUCAGAACAAUGGCGAAAUAUCUACGUGAUUCAGUUCGAGCAAAUUUGGGAGGAGAGGGAUGAAUGACAACAAUUAACAAGUUAGUUGUCAAUUACCACGUUAUCGUUCGCGAUACCGAAACACGAAUGAAACACGUCAUGCAUACAAACACGGUUGAUAGCUUUAUUGAAUUAAUUUUUUUUUUUAUAUCCGACUACACUGUAGUCGAGAAAAAAUAAAACGCAAAAAGUAAUUUUUUUUUGUACCGUAUCUAUUCAUGUUGUUUUCUCACAAUGGAAAAAUAAUAUUUUUCAGGAAUAAAAUACAAGUAUAUAUUCAACACAGCUUUAAAAAAAAAAAGAAAUGAAAUAUAUAAAUAUAAGAUUAAAACGUAACAUUAUAGAUGGAAAGAGAAAAAUCUUCACGUACUAUACAGCACAUAAAUUGAUAUGCAGUGCAAUGUUUCUCUAUCAACUUCCUUCCUGCACGAAUUGAAGGGAAGCGUCAAAUGGGUAUUGCGUCGUGCUCGGUUCAGUUCAUUUUUCGUUAUCUCAAAUUCAAUGCAUACCGGUUCCUUUAUGCGUAAAUUAUAUAUCGUAACGUAGCGAAUCGAGGAUAUGUCGCUAUAACACCAGGUGAAAAGGAUAAUGAGACAGGGCGUCUCAGCCUUGCUACAAAAAUUAAUCAUUAACCUCUCUUUCGCGCAAGGAUUCGCCUCGUCAAUUAUCAAGAUUUAUGUUACGACUGGCACGCCCUCUUAAACGAAUCGUCGCAGCCGUGCAUUAAAACAUUAGAUGCUCGGACCAACAAGGAAGCCAUAUGGAACCCCUUGAUUUUCUCUGCUGCGUGGUAUGGGGGGACCUUUACACAUCGACCGGAAGUUAGCUACUAGAGUUCGUACGCCAUAUGGUAGGAACGAAUUUAUUCGAAGAACACGAUGUAAUUCUGGUUCUGGCGGCAAUGCACGCCUUUACGCUCGCCAAUGAUUUAAAAAAAAA
rnacentral:lncRNA from 1 species